ACCUAAUGGUCAGGAGUCCCUUUACCUUUACCUUUAAGAACUAGCCACAUUUCACAUUAAGAGGAGAAAUAUAAUCAGGUUUCUGUAUAGUGUAAAGUAAAGGUAAAAGGACCCCUGACCAUUAGGU